GUGUCAGCAGCCGCGGUAAGACGAACCGAGCGAACGUUGUUCGGAAUCACUGGGCUUAAAGGGCGCGUAGGCGGGCUGUCAAGUUUGGGGUGAAAUCUCACGGCUCAACCGUGGAACUGCCUCAAAUACUGACGGUCUCGAGGGAGAUAGGGGCGAGCGGAACUAAUGGUGGAGCGGUGAAAUGCGUUGAUAUCAUUAGGAACUCCGGUGGCGAAGGCGGCUCGCUGGAUCUCUUCUGACGCUGAGGCGCGAAAGCUAGGGGAGCAAACGGGAUUAGAAACCCCAGUAGUCC
rnacentral:rRNA from 1 species